ACUGGGGUUGGCCGAGUGGUUAAGGCGUUGGACUUAAGUUCCAAUGGACAAGUGCUCCGCGUGGGUUCGAACCCCACCACCCAGUA
rnacentral:tRNA from 1 species